rnacentral:sRNA from 1 species
CGCAAUGUGAUUUCUGCCCA